GUCUACGGCCAUGCCACCCUGAACAAGCCAGAGCCCGUCUGAUCUUAGAAGCUAAGCAAGGUCGGGCCUGGUUAGUACUUGGACAGAAGACCACCUAGGAAGACCAGGUGCUACAGGCA
rnacentral:rRNA from 1 species